UGCUAUAGAUGAUAAAAUAUAAAUAAUACUCUAUACGUGAUUUAUUUUUUAAUUUUUUUAUAAAGUUUUUAAAUAAAAUGAACGUCACAUAAACCCUUACAACUACACUUAAAAUACUACUAGGAUGGAGCGAGUACUAUUUUGAGCUAGAAAUACGCCGCUGAAAAGUUGAAAAAGAGAUUUGAAAAAGGAGAAAAAAAAUCACGAAAAAGCGCGGAACAAAAGCUUCUCCCCCUUGUCGCCCGCAAUGGCGUCUCCCACUCGCAGCCUUCUCCUCCUCCUCACUCCCCCACACGAGCUCCGCCGCCUCCCCAUCCCCCCCGGGAACCCUACACUCCUCCCCGCGCGGCCGGUGAUGGCGUCGACCCCGCCGCCGCCGCCGGUGAUAGGCAAGGCGGGCAACCUCACGGUCUUCAUCACGCCGCCGUCGCCGUCGGAGGCGGAGGCGGAGGGGUCGCCGGACUCCCCGCGGUCGGAGUUCACCACCCCCAGCGGAUCCCCCCGCGCGGCCGAGGAUUCGACGCCGCCUCCUUCUCCGCCGCGGGCCGGAGCAGCCGCCGGUCAAGGAGGAGGCGCCGGCGUCCUCCCCGCAGCUGGCCACCCCGCCGCCGGUGAAGACGGUCUCACCGCCGCUGCCCGCCGCGAAGCUCUCCUCCGCCGCCGCCCCUCGGCCUCCGCCGCCGGUGCAGGUGCCACUGCCUUCCGCGAAGCUCUCGGCCCCUAGGCCCCCGCCGACGCCGCCGCCGGUGCAGGUGCCGCCGCCGCAGUUCGAGAAGGCGGAGGCGAGGCCCGAUGGAUCCAUGCUCGCCUUGUUCUGGGACACGGUCGCGCGCGUGCAAGAAGCGCACGCCAGCUUGGACGAGUACAUCUCGAACUGGUUCGGGCUGGAUCAAUCCAAGUACCAGUGGGCUCUCAACGAGUACUAUGAGAGCAACGGAAAGGAUAUGGAGUCAGGGAAAGCUGCGAAGCCGAAGGAACUCGGUAGUAAAAUGUAGGUCUAAAAAGCUGGAUUACAUCUGUAUAUGUCAAUGGGGACAUCUCUUCGAUUCUCGCCAAUUCAGUUCGAUUUUAUGUCGUAUCUGUCUACCAUGCAGCAAUUCCUUUGUUUGCUUCAUUUGUGUAGCUAAGCUAGAGAACUGUGUGAAGUUUCACUGGGAAGUUGAUACCUCUUCUGCUGCAACUAGCAGGCCCGGACACAAUCUGUAAUCUGUUCGUGCCAAAGCGUUGAAAAAAGUCCAGUGCGGCAAAAAGCAUUUUGUUGGCUCCUCGCACCAAUGUGUAGCCCUACGUAUUCUUUACAACAUUUUGCGUUGUAAUUGCAUGGUGCUAAUAUUCUGCGAAUGUUUUCUGUGCU